rnacentral:rRNA from 1 species
GGGUCCGGACACACUGAGGAUUGACAGGCAAUAUUAAUACGUUUUGCUUCGGUAAACGCGUAUUAUGUUAAAUAUGCUAGUCCUUUCAUGAUUAUGUGAUAGGUGGUGCAUGGCCGUUCUUAGUUCGUGGAGUGAUCUGUCUGCUUAAUUGCGUUUCACUAAGGGCCUAUAAAUUUACGUNUGUUGCAUCGCACUUUGACCCCUUUCUUUAAUUAGAGAGCGCGUGUCUUAGUUUUCGCUUUGCUCAUACAAUUAGGUCCUGAAAGCAACGAACGUGACCGCAACCUCUUGUUGCCUUUAUACCAAACAUGUUUUGCGUCAAUUUUUACGAAUUGCGCGCAUUUCAUGAAAAAAGGCUUUUUAAACUAGAGGGACCGCUGUUACUUUCUUAAACCAGAGGAAGGUUGCGGCAAUAACAGGUCUGUGAUGCCCUUAGAUGUUCCGGGCUGCACACGUGCUACAAUGAUUAUUGCAGUGAGCAUCUCAUUUUUACACACCGCAUGCGCGAGUCCAUUUAUUCACCUUCGGGUGUUUUAAAUGUGUAUCUCUGCGCGCGGUAAAGCCUGCUUCGACAGUAAGUGGGU